CCAAUUAUUACCGAAACCGGAGAUGCCAGUGGCCGUAAGGAUCUCCCCAUCAGGUGUAGAAGGAGCUGUAAGGAUGGUAACGGAAUCAAAAAUUGGGCUAGUGAGGUUUAUCCCUACAGUAAUUGAAUGUACCGUAGAAUUAGUAACCACACAUACCUGAAUUUUCCAAUAUACAGGUGUGGCGGUGCAACUUACAUAAGGAGCCAAUCUAAAGUCUUGACAGCCCGUGGAAGACACUGGACGGAUGCCAACUUUCAAUCCUGUAUGCUCAGUGGCGAGAGUCAAACGAGGCCGCCACUGAGUACCUAACCCGGUUGAGGUGUAACUGGACCAGUCAUAUCCGGUCUCAGCCACUAGAUUAUCCCAGGUCCAGUCACCAUGCUGGGCCCCUACAGUCAUAUACCAAUCCCAUCCUCUAUAGGAUCCUGCUGAUGUUCCUUUUUUAGCUGAGAGGUGUGACCCUCCCAGGGUAUCCCAUAAAAUAAGCGCAGAAGUGGAAAUGUUACUAGGUAUGCAUAGUGUGGUGCUCCUAACCUGACCAGGGGUGCAUUCUUGGUCAUUUGAGGGCGUGGAGCGAGUAUGGAUCCUAUGGGUCGAGUGCGGCUGUGUACUGUUACCAGUGGUUAUCUGAGUGUAAGACAGUGUAUUGUUGGGUGUGUUCCUGUGCGUGAGUUGUUGUACUCCCCAUGUGAGCGUGCCAAACAGUACCCCAAUCAGAAUUAUAAAGAAGAGAAACAGUGGGGCAGAUAUCCCCAGUCUCACCCAGGGAGGGAGAUCCCUUCCUUGAGGAGCCUUAGGGCGAGGAAAAGGGGGCGGUGGCACCAUUUUCCUCGUCCAAGGAGUCAGUGGUUGGGGUCGAAUCAAGGGCGCGUAAGUCGGCCCUGGUUUCAGUCAAUGUUCUGGAAGGAGUUGGGGCUGGCGUGCAAUGUGUUAGGUGGUGCCAAGGUGCGCCUGAUUUACCUUUGACCUGGACUGAGUGUGAAGUAACUUCCUUCACUUCGUACGGUCCAGUCCACCUGGGUUCCAGCCACUUUCUCUUGUGGACUCGGACCCUCACCCAGUCCCCAACUUUUACCUUCAGUGUUGGCGAGUCUCCCGACAGCUCCCCCUCUUGGACCUUGCGGAUCUGUGUGGAGAGAGCUGCAGAAAGUUCUGUCAGUUUUCUCACAUAGUCAGACAUUGCAAUUUGUUGUACAUCAAGGGCGGGCAUAUGACCUCCCUCCCUUGGUGGACCAGGCAUGACUCUGCCAGUCAUUAUCUCAUGGGGAGAGAGAUGGGUCCCUGCUCCUGGAGAGGCUCUCAUAGCCAUCAACGCCAGGGGCAGGGCCUCAACCCAAGUCAACUUUGAACCAGCACAUACCUUAGCUAUUUUAGCUUUCAGGGUUUGGUUAGCGCGCUCCACAAGACCCUGUGACUGGGGCCUGUACACUGACCCAAAUUUGUGUUCAAUCCCGAAUCUCUCCUCCACCUGUCUCAGGUGUUUGUUACUGAAAUGGGACCCAUUGUCGGAUCGAAUUUGUCUUGGAACCCCAUACCUAGGUAUGAGCUCCGUCUGUAGCCAUUUUAUGACUGACUUUGCGUCUUCCUUUGCUGUUGGUAUUGCCUCUACCCACCUGGAGAAACGGUCCACCAUUACCAGUAGGUACCGUUUCCCCCCCACUACGUUGUCUGACCCCAUGUCUGUGUAAUCUAUGCUAAUGUCCUGGAAGCAUGCAUUAGGGACAGGGUAAGAACAAAUGGGCGUUUGAUAGUUUUUUUUUUUAUUGUGACUCCCACAUAUGUCGCACUCAUCGCAGUGUAAGUCUGUCAUGUCCUUCAUAUGAGGAUGCCACCAGACGUAUGACACCUUCUGAAAUGUUUUCAGUUUUCCCUCAUGUGUAGGCCCAUGAGCCUCGCGUAUGAGUUCAGGACACAGGUUUGCGGGGGCUACCAGUCUGCCAUCAUGGCAUCUCCACAGUUCAUCAGGUCCUUUGGUCGCCCCCUUCUGUGCCCAUACUGAGUGUUCGUAUGGUCCUGCCCCAAGCUGCAUCUCCUUGAUGUCUCGUGGGGUCAGUUCGGUCUGUGAUGUUUCUGGCCGCAUCACCAUCUGUCUGGGUGUGUAGCCUCCAGCUUUCUUCGCCGCUUUAUCGGCAGCAUCAUUCCCUUCGCUGAUUCUGUUGUUUGAUCGUUGAUGUCCCUUGCAUUUCAUUAUAGCUACCUUUUCAGGCAGGGAGACGGACGAAAUCAGUUUCUCCAUUUGUGUCUUGUGUUUAAUGGGGAGGUUUCCUGUGGUAGUAAAGUUCCUUCUCACCCAUUGUGGUCCGUCUAUGUGGACGGCUCCGUGUGCAUAGGCGGAAUCGGUAUAAAUGUUCACCGUUUUUCCUUCUGCUUUUUUCAAUGCUUGUGUUAGGCCUAUGAUCUCGGCAAGUUGUGCGGAUGCCGGUUGUGGAAUGAUGGCUGCUUCCAGUGUUAUGUGUGAGCCAUCUGAUAAUUGUUGCACCACAGCGUAGGCUGCUAUGUUACCUUCUUCUCCUCUGUAGCAGCAUCCGUCUGUGUACAACCACAAAUCAGGGUUUUGAUGUGGCAUGUUUUCCAGGUCAGGUCUCAGCUUUAGUUCUUGCGCUGCUCUUUCGGUGCAUGAGUGAGGUAAACCUUCCUCUGCAUUUAGCGCGUCUGCCAUGUUUUUGUCAGUGUUAACAAACGUGAUGUGUGACUGUGUGCACUUAUUCUGUAUCUUGUUUUUUCUUUCAGAGCUGAACGUGAAUUCUUUGCUCAUGAGGUAAGAUGCCACUCCAUGAUGGGUGUGGAUUUCCAAAGGGUGACACAUUACCAGGUGGGCUGUCUUCUCAAUGGCUUUAGCCACCGCUGCCACAUACCUGGAGCAUGUUGUUUGUCCCAAUUCGAUGUGGUCCAGUUUGGAGGAAUGGUACAUCAGCACUCUCCUCUCCCCCUCUUGUUUCUGAAACAGGACGGACGAUGUAAAACCUUCCUUUUCAGAAACAUCCAGAUGGAAUUUUGACUGGUAGUCCGGGGCAGUGAGAGCUGCGGCCACAGAGAGAUCAGUUUUCAGAAGAGCAAAAGCCUCGGAUGCUUCUGGCGUCCAGGCCAGAGGAGCAUGGAAAUUUCUUGCCCCUGAUGUGCGGACCAUUUCACGCAUCGGCUCGGUUCGUGCCGUGUAGUCGGGGAUGUGGGUCCUUGAGAGUAUGGUGGUGGGUCAGUAGGCAGUGCCGGGUAUAGUCGAGUCGACGGCUG
rnacentral:lncRNA from 1 species